UACGUAGGGAGCAAGCGUUGUUCGGAUUUACUGGGCGUAAAGGGCGCGUAGGCGGCGCGGUAAGUCACUUGUGAAAUCUCUGAGCUUAACUCAGAACGGCCAAGUGAUACUGCAGUGCUAGAGUGCAGAAGGGGCAAUCGGAAUUCUUGGUGUAGCGGUGAAAUGCGUAGAUAUCAAGAGGAACACCUGAGGUGAAGACGGGUUGCUAGGCUGACACCGAGCUGAGGCGCGAAAGCCAGGGGAGCAAACGGG
rnacentral:rRNA from 1 species